GUUUGAUCCUGGCUCAGGAUGAACGCUGGCGGCGUGCUUAACACAUGCAAGUCGAGCGAAGCAAUUUAAGUGAAGUUUUCGGAUGGAUCUUAGAUUGACUGAGCGGCGGACGGGUGAGUAACGCGUGGAUAACCUGCCUCACACAGGGGGAUAACAGUUGGAAACGGCUGCUAAUACCGCAUAAGCGCACAGUACCGCAUGGUACAGUGUGAAAAACUCCGGUGGUGUGAGAUGGAUCCGCGUCUGAUUAGGUAGUUGGUGAGGUAACGGCCCACCAAGCCGACGAUCAGUAGCCGACCUGAGAGGGUGACCGGCCACAUUGGGACUGAGACACGGCCCAAACUCCUACGGGAGGCAGCAGUGGGGAAUAUUGCACAAUGGGCGAAAGCCUGAUGCAGCAACGCCGCGUGAGUGAAGAAGUAUCUCGGUAUGUAAAGCUCUAUCAGCAGGGAAGAAAAUGACGGUACCUGACUAAGAAGCCCCGGCUAACUACGUGCCAGCAGCCGCGGUAAUACGUAGGGGGCAAGCGUUAUCCGGAUUUACUGGGUGUAAAGGGAGCGUAGACGGCAAGGCAAGUCUGAUGUGAAAACCCAGGGCUUAACCCUGGGACUGCAUUGGAAACUGUCUGGCUCGAGUGCCGGAGAGGUAAGCGGAAUUCCUAGUGUAGCGGUGAAAUGCGUAGAUAUUAGGAAGAACACCAGUGGCGAAGGCGGCUUGCUGGACAGUAACUGACGUUCAGGCUCGAAAGCGUGGGGAGCAAACAGGAUUAGAUACCCUGGUAGUCCACGC
rnacentral:rRNA from 1 species